CAGGGUGAAAGGGUUAAUGUUGUAAUGGACUCUAAUCCCCUCGGUUCUCGAUCCCUCGGUCACCAUAAUCAACGUUGAUGGAGAAUCAUUGUAAGCAUUAACACACGGACAACAGCUUUACAAGACUCUCAAAUGAGUGUAUUCCAGAGCUGGCUUUUAUACAUAGUUUGCUUACAUUAGCCAUGGUAUAUGCAAAUACAGUACAGACUAUAAGAUUUAUUACUUCCUUAUAUUAC